rnacentral:misc_RNA from 1 species
GAUGAAGAACGUAGCGAAAUGCGAUACGUAAUGUGAAUUGCAGAAUUCAGUGAAUCAUCGAAUCUUUGAACGCAUAUUGCGCUCUUUGGUAUUCCGAAGAGCAUGCUUGUUUGAGUAUCAGUAAACACCUCAAAGUCUUUUUUUUUCUUGAAGAAAAAGACCUUGGACUUGAGCAAUCCCAACUCUUCUUUCAGAAGAGGCGGGUUGCUUGAAAUGCAGGUGCAGCUGGACAUUCUCCUGAGCUAAAAGCAUAUUCAUUUAGUCCCGUCAAUCGGAUUAUUACUUUUGCUGCAGCUAACAUAAAGGGAGUUUGACCAUUUUGGCUGACUGAUGCAGGAAUUUCACAAGAGUCUUCAAAACGCUCUUGUUAAACUCGAUCUCAAAUCAAGUAAGACUACCCGCUGAACUUAAGCAUAUCAAUAAGCGGAGGA